CAGUAGCCACGGUAAUACAGAGGGUGCGAGCGUUAAUCGGAUUACUGGGCGUAAAGCGUGCGUAGGCGGCUUUUUAAGUCGGAUGUGAAAUCCCUGAGCUUAACUUAGGAAUUGCAUUCGAUACUGGGAAGCUAGAGUAUGGGAGAGGAUGGUAGAAUUCCAGGUGUAGCGGUGAAAUGCGUAGAGAUCUGGAGGAAUACCGAUGGCGAAGGCAGCCAUCUGGCCUAAUACUGACGCUGAGGUACGAAAGCAUGGGGAGCAAACAGGAUUAGAUACCCCUGUAGUCCCUGUCUCUUAUACA
rnacentral:rRNA from 1 species